UACGUAGGGACCAAGCGUUGUUCGGAUUUACUGGGCGUAAAGGGCGCGUAGGCGGCCUGUUAAGUCGAACGUGAAAUCCCUGGGCUCAACCCAGGAACUGCGUCCGAUACUGGCAGGCUUGAAUCCGGGAGAGGGAUGUGGAAUUCCAGGUGUAGCGGUGAAAUGCGUAGAUAUCUGGAGGAACACCGGUGGCGAAGGCGGCAUCCUGGACCAAUAUUGACGCUGAGGAGCGAAAGCCAGGGGAGCAAACGGG
rnacentral:rRNA from 1 species